AUACGUAGGUGACAAGCGUUAUCCGGAUUUACUGGGUGUAAAGGGCGUGUAGACGGUUUAGCAAGUCAGAAGUGAAAUUCCCGGGCUUAACUUGGGCGCUGCUUCUGAAACUGCUUUACUUGAGUGCUGGAGAGGAUAGUGGAAUUCCUAGUGUAGCGGUAAAAUGCGCAGAUAUUAGGAGGAACACCGGUGGCGAAGGCGGCUAUCUGGACAGUAACUGACGCUGAGGCGCGAAAGCACGGGGAGCAAACAGGAUUAGAUACCCUGGUAGUCCGUGCCGUAAACGAUGAAUACUAGGUGUAGGGGGUAUCGACUCCCUCUGUGCCGCAGUUAACACAUUAAGUAUUCCACCUGGGGAGUACGGCCGCAAGGUUGAAACUCAAAUGAAUUGACGGGG
rnacentral:rRNA from 1 species